UGCUCGGUAGCUCAGUGGUAGAGCGGUCGGCUGUUAACCGAUUGGUCGCAGGUUCGAGCCCUGCUCGAGCAGCCA
rnacentral:tRNA from 1 species